CUCCAUCUGGAAGAAUCUGGAGACAGGUGCUGCAUGGCUGUCGGUCAGCUCGUGUCGUGAGAUGUUGGGUUAAGUCCCGUAACGAGCGCAACCCCUAUCAUUAGUUGCCAUCAGGUCAAGCUGGGACUCUAAUGAAACUGCCUACGCAAGUAGUGAGGAAGUGGGGAUGACGUCAAAGUCAGCAGGCCCUUACGUCCAGGGCUACACACGUGCUACAAUGGCCGGUACAAAGGGCAGCUACCUGGUGACAGGAUGCUAAUCUCAAAAGCCGGUACUCAGUUCGGAUCGGAGUCUGGCAACCCGACUCCGUGAACGCUGGAAUCGCUAGUAAUCGCGCAUCAGCCAUGGCGCGGUGAAUACGUUCCCGGGCCUU
rnacentral:rRNA from 1 species